rnacentral:lncRNA from 1 species
GGGGGGGGGUAGACGUGCAGUUGUACAUCUUAAAUCCACUCCAACAUUUCUAUCUUUUUGAGGCUAUGGGAUUUUUUCCUUUACAUUCUAGGGAAUUUUUUGCAUCUCAAUCUCACGUUAGAUAUAUAACCUCUGGCAAAUGUACCCAUAUCAAUAAAUUAUUCAAAGUUAUAGUCCAUCCUCCUUGGUCUAACAUUCUUAGCACCCAUUCUCAUAUAUUGUCCAGUUUUUUCUCAAAAUAAAUUAGCCAAAUCUUGUAAUUCUCUUGGAGUAUGAGUGAUCUUCUGGAUAGGUUUUACACUUGCUUGUACUUUGCUUAUCAGGUUUUUCACUUAUUUUCCCAGAAUCAUUAUAGACUCUAGUUAUAGUAGAUAUAAUAAGAGGUAAUGGAGGCAGGCAUCUCUUUGCAAGACAUUUGCUUCAGUUGGAUUGUUACAGGGUCUUCAAGCAAGAGAAAGUAAGUCUCCUAAGAAGAGACUCAAAGUGACUUGAGAGUUCAAGAGUCUCAUUUGUAUCUGUGUCUACCCACAUGUCCUCAUUUCAAGGAUCUGGGGUCUACUUUUUUCCAAAGAUGCCCUGACUUUCACAAAGGAGACUCUGUGAAUCUGUGACAUCAACUUAUACUGUAAUUCUUCAAUCUGCACAAGCAAAUUUUGCAUUUGAUUUUAAGCAAUGUCUAUCCUACAGCCUCUUCUUAUAGCCGUAGAAGAAAAGAUUCUCUUAGGACUACUGCAGAAGCUCUCUUUUUCUUGAACUGAAAGUUUAAAAAUCCUGAACUUGUUUACUUCUUCUGUAAGAAGAACUAUCUUAUUCACUUACAUGAUAUAAAGUGAUUUCAGCUUUUGCAACUAUAGCCUAGUGUUUUCAGAAGACUUAAAUCACCACAUACUUUCAAUGAAAUCAAAGAGUACAUGUACAGAGAUUGUGCAAUGUUGUAAUUACGACUGCUGCUGUCACCUAGGACAAAGUGUUUGCUUCCAUCUGUGCUUCUGGGGCAGGAUGGACUCACCUGGCUAUCUGAAGGAUUCUUCUCCAGUACUCAAAAGUCAAACUGAACCUGAUUAUAUUGCUUAUAUUUUAAAUGUUUUCAUAAUUCUCUCUGUAGUAAAUAAAGAUGAAAACAAAGAUUACAGCAGGAAAUCUGAUACUAAAGCUAAUUUCUUUCGAACUUUCUUCAGCUGCAUUCUCUGUCUUUUAGGAGUUUACAGUGGAAUGAGGUUUAUAGCUCUCUUUACUAUCAGAUCACACAGAAUCUAAUUGUGCACUGCUGCUGCUGUUCUUUCUCGCGAUAGAUAGUCUAAAACUUUGAGAACAUUUUAUUGAUAAGGAUAAUUAAAGAAAGGUUAAUGUAACAGAUAUGUAGAUCAGUGAAACAUAAUAAAAAGCCCAGAAAUAAGCCCA